CAAUCUCUGUGUGCAUUUUCAUC
rnacentral:miRNA from 14 species